CUUAUACUCCCUCUGUCCGGAAAUACUUGUCAUAGGAAUGGAUGUAUCUAGAUGUAUUUUAGUUCUAGAAUCUAGAUACAUCCAUUUUUAUCUAUUUGUGCCACAAGUAAUUCUGGACGGAGGGAGUAUUUC
rfam:Hordeum vulgare subsp. vulgare, WGS project CAJW01000000 data, contig: morex_contig_5697